rnacentral:miRNA from 1 species
AGCUGAUGUAAAUUAGGAGAGC